CAUAUCAAUAAGCGGAGGAAAAGAAACCAACAGGGAUUACCUCAGUAACGGCGAGUGAAGCGGUAACAGCUCAAAUUUGAAAUCUGGGUCUUUCAGGCUCCGAGUUGUAAUUUGUAGAAGAUGCUUUGGGUGCGGCCCUGGUCUAAGUUCCUUGGAACAGGACGUCAUAGAGGGUGAGAAUCCCGUAUGUGAUCGGUGGCUUGCGCCCGUGUAAAGCUCUUUCGACGAGUCGGGUUGUUUGGGAAUGCAGCUCUAAAUGGGUGGUAAAUUUCAUCUAAAGCUAAAUAUUGGCCAGAGACCGAUAGCGCACAAGUAGAGUGAUCGAAAGAUGAAAAGAACUUUGGAAAGAGAGUUAAACAGUACGUGAAAUUGUUGAAAGGGAAGCGCUUGCAACCAGACUUGCGCGGGGUUGAUCAUCCGGGGUUCUCCCCGGUGCACUCGGCCUCGCUCAGGCCAGCAUCGGUUUCGGUGGUUGGAUAAAGGCCUUGGGAAUGUAGCUCCUCUCGGGGAGUGUUAUAGCCCUCGGUGCAAUGCAGCCU
rnacentral:rRNA from 1 species